ACUGGGUGGCCGUGUGUGGUCGAGCCUGUAAGCUGACCGUGUUACUACUCUAAGGUUGGACAGAAAAGUAUCAGCGGUCAAGGCCGCUUUUGUUUGAUCUUAACAACCGACAAAAUCUAAUUAUUCCCCCAGAUUUCUCUGCCUGGAUUGAAACACCCCUCGCAUGUUUGGAGUGGGGUCCUGUGGCUGCUGAGGGUGUUAGGAUGGCACCCCACCUUAAAGGCCACUCUGUACUCUUCCUUCCCACAGGGAAGCAAAAGAGAGGCUCCCAGCAUUGUUGCAGCAGUUCUUCCGUGGCCUGAGCCUCCCUUCCCAUUGUGGCAGUGAAAGAGUGAGACUCAAAUCCCUCAGGAUUGAGUGACAGCUGCUCCUCAUUCAGAGACAGGGCUCAAGGAAGCAGGGCUGGCUCCCUCUACUCAGGAAUGACCUGCUGGGUUUAAAGACUCCUUCAGAAGGAACCCCGUUCGUUCACUCGUUUGUUCAGCCUGUCCUUGCCGUGCAUGCAGUGUAGGCUCUCCCACCUGGAGCUCACAAGCACAAUGGAGGAAGAUUUUGAUUU
rnacentral:lncRNA from 1 species